GACGAACGCUGGCGGCGUGCUUAACACAUGCAAGUCGAACGGAAAGGCCUCUUUCGGGGGGUACUCGAGUGGCGAACGGGUGAGUAACACGUGAGUAACCUGCCCUUGACUUUGGGAUAACUUCAGGAAACUGGGGCUAAUACCGGAUAGGAGCUCCUGCUGCAUGGUGGGGGUUGGAAAGUUUCGGCGGUUGGGGAUGGACUCGCGGCUUAUCAGCUUGUUGGUGGGGUAGUGGCUUACCAAGGCUUUGACGGGUAGCCGGCCUGAGAGGGUGACCGGCCACAUUGGGACUGAGGUACGGCCCAGACUCCUACGGGAGGCAGCAGUGGGGAAUAUUGCACAAUGGGUGGAAGCCUGAUGCAGCAACGCCGUGUGCGGGAGGACGGCCUUCGGGUUGUAAACCGCUUUCGCUCAUGACGAAGCUUUGUGUGACGGUAGUGGGUAAAGAAGCACCGGCUAACUACGUG
rnacentral:rRNA from 1 species